rnacentral:rRNA from 1 species
UACAGAGGUCUCAAGCGUUGUUCGGAUUCAUUGGGCGUAAAGGGUGCGUAGGUGGCGCGGUAAGUCGGGUGUGAAAUUUCGGAGCUUAACUCCGAAACUGCAUUCGAUACUGCCGUGCUUGAGGACUGGAGAGGAGACUGGAAUUUACGGUGUAGCAGUGAAAUGCGUAGAUAUCGUGAGGAAGACCAGUGGCGAAGGCGGGUCUCUGGACAGUUCCUGACGCUGAGGCGCGAAGGCCAGGGGAGCAAACGGG